GAUGAACGCUGGCGGCGUGCCUAAUACAUGCAAGUCGAGCGAACAGACGAGGAGCUUGCUCCUCUGACGUUAGCGGCGGACGGGUGAGUAACACGUGGAUAACCUACCUAUAAGACUGGGAUAACUUCGGGAAACCGGAGCUAAUACCGGAUAAUAUAUUGAACCGCAUGGUUCAAUAGUGAAAGACGGUUUUGCUGUCACUUAUAGAUGGAUCCGCGCCGCAUUAGCUAGUUGGUAAGGUAACGGCUUACCAAGGCGACGAUGCGUAGCCGACCUGAGAGGGUGAUCGGCCACACGAGAGCUGGAACGCGGUCCAGACUCCUGCGGGAGGCAGCAGUAGGGAAUGUGCCGCAAUGGGCGAAAGCCUGACGGAGCAACGCCGCGUGAGUGAUGAAGGUCUUCGGAUCGUAAAACUCUGUUAUUAGGGAAGAACAAAUGUGGAAGUAACUAUGCACGUCUUGACGGUACCGAGUCAGAAAGCCACGGCUAACUACGUG
rnacentral:rRNA from 1 species